UUGGAGGGCAAGUCUGGUGCCAGCAGCCGCGGUAAUUCCAGCUCCAAUAGCGUAUAUUAAAGUUGUUGCAGUUAAAAAGCUCGUAGUUGAACUUCGGGGUUUACCCAUUGGUCAGGCUUAAUUGUCUGUACUGGUGAGAUGAAUCUCUACCUUCUGAGGAACUUUCAUGCCAUUUAUUUGGUGUGAUGGGAAAUCAGGACUGUUACUUUGAAAAAAUUAGAGUGUUUAAAGCAGGCUAACGUCUGAAUACAUUAGCAUGGAAUAAUGAAAUAGGACGGACUGAUUCUAUUUCGUUGGUUUCUAGGAUCACCGUAAUGAUUAAUAGGGAUAGUUGGGGGCAUUAGUAUUCAAUUGUCAGAGGUGAAAUUCUUGGAUUUAUUGAAGACUAACUACUGCGAAAGCAUUUGCCAAGGAUGUUUUCAUUAAUCAAGAACGAAAGUUAGGGGAUCGAGGACGAUCAGAUACCGUCGUAGUCUUAACCAUAAACUAUGCCGACUAGGGAUCGGACGAAGUUAAUUUUAUAAUGACGCGUUCGGCGCCUUACGGGAAAC
rnacentral:rRNA from 1 species